UAGGGAAUCUUCCGCAAUGGGCGAAAGCCUGACGGAGCAACGCCGCGUGAGUGAUGAAGGUCUUAGGAUCGUAAAACUCUGUUAUUAGGGAAGAACAAACGUGUAAGUAACUGUGCACGUCUUGACGGUACCUAAUCAGAAAGCCACGGCUAACUACGUGCCAGCAGCCGCGGUAAUACGUAGGUGGCAAGCGUUAUCCGGAAUUAUUGGGCGUAAAGCGCGCGUAGGCGGCUUUUUAAGUCUGAUGUGAAAGCCCACGGCUCAACCGUGGAGGGUCAUUGGAAACUGGAAAACUUGAGUGCAGAAGAGGAAAGUGGAAUUCCAUGUGUAGCGGUGAAAUGCGCAGAGAUAUGGAGGAACACCAGUGGCGAAGGCGACUUUCUGGUCUGUAACUGACGCUGAUGUGCGAAAGCGUGGGGAUCAAACA
rnacentral:rRNA from 1 species